CAGUACAUAGUUGUAUAUUCUGCUUGUAAGUCCUUCUAGUUCUUCUAUGUGAGACACCGCCACAGCAUGGCUACUGACAGAUGAGUGGUGUAGUUCCAUGACAGGGAAAUGAACCCGGGCAGUUGAAGUGGAGCGUGCCAAAUUUUAACCACUAGGCCAUCAAGGCUACUUCUGGCCAAUUUUUCUAUUGAGCUGUUUGUUUUCUUAUUGUUGAGUUUUAAGAGUUUUUUGCAUAUUUUGAUAAUAGUCCUUUAUGAGAUGUGUCUUUUGCAAAUAUUUUCUCCCAGUCUGUGGCUUGUCUUUUCAUUCUCUUAACAUUGUCUUUUGCAGAACAGAAGUUUUUUCAUUUUAAUGAAGUCCAAAUUAUCAAUUCUUUCUUUCAUAGAUUGUGCCUUUGGUGAUGUAUCUAAAAAGUCAUCACCAUACCCAAGGUCACCUAGGUUCUCCUCUAUGCUAUUUUCUGGGAGUUUUAUAGUUUUGCAUGUUUCAUUUAGGCCUCUGAUUCCUUUUGAGUUAACUUUUGUAAGGGGUGUAAGAUCUGUGUCUAGAUUAAUUUUUUCUUUGCAUACAGAUGUCCAGUUGUUCCAGCAGCAUUUGUUGAAAAGACUGUCUUUGCUCCACUGUAGUGCCUUUGCUCCUUUGUCAAAGGAUCUAUUUAUAUGGAUCUAUUUCUGGGCUAUCCAUUCUGUUCCAUUUAUUUAUUUGUCUAUUCUUUAACCAAUACCACACUGUCUUAAUUACUGUAGCUUUAUAGUAUGUCUUGAAAUUGAGCAGUGUUAGUCCUCCAACUUUGUUCUUCUCCUUGAACAUUCAAGAUUGGCCAUUGUGGGUCUUUUGCCCCUCUACAUAAACUUUAGAAUCUGCUUGCCAGUAGCCACAAAAUAACUUGCUGGUAUUUUGAUUGGGAUUGUGUUGAAUCUAUAGAUCAAAGCUUGGAAGGACUGACAUCUUGACAGUGUUGAGUCUUCCUAUCCAUAAUCAUGGGUUAUCUCUCCAUUUGUUUAAUUCUUCGUUGACAUCUUUCAUAAGAGUUUUGUAAUUUUUCUCAUAUAGAUCUUGUACAUAUUUUGUUAGCUUUGUAACCAAGUAUUUCAUUUUGGGGGGUGCUAAUGUAAACAGCAUUUGCUUUAAUUUCAAAUUUUACUUUUCCAUUUUGUUAUAUAAGAAAGUAAUUGACUUUUAUAUAUUAACCUUAUAUCUUGCAAUCUUGGUAUAAUCACUUAUUAGUUCCAGGAGUUUUUUGUUGAUAAUUGCAGAUUUUCUACAUAGACAAUCAUGUCAUCUGCAAACAAAGACAGUUUUAUUUCUUCCUUCCCAGUCCAUUUAUCUUUUAUUUCCUUUUCUUUUCUUAUUGCAUUAGCUAGGACUUCCAGUAUGAUGUUGAAAAGCAGUGGUGAGAGUGUUCAUUCUUGCCUUGUUCCUGAUCUUAGUGAGAUAGCUUUGAGCUUCUCACUAUUACCUUGGGAAUUUUCCUUUGGUCUUUGAAUUCCUCCUUCUGAAAAGUGCUUCCAUGACCAUUGUUCUUCACAGCCACAUCUGAAGUGGGCAUUGGGAAAUAGUCUCCUACCUGGAAGUUACAUAGCUUUCACAACAGUGAAUAAGACUUUAGUGGAGAAAAUCAUAAACCUUUAUUAAAAGAUAUUUUAAAA
rnacentral:lncRNA from 1 species